rnacentral:rRNA from 1 species
GAUGAACGCUGGCGGCGUGCUUAACACAUGCAAGUCGAACGAAGCAUUUAGGACAGAUUACUUCGGUUUGAGGUUCUUUAUGACUGAGUGGCGGACGGGUGAGUAACGCGUGGGUAACCUGCCUUGUACUGGGGGAUAGCAGCUGGAAACGGCUGGUAAUACCGCAUAAGCGCACAAUGUUGCAUGACAUGGUGUGAAAAACUCCGGUGGUAUAAGAUGGACCCGCGUCUGAUUAGCUAGUUGGUGAGAUAACAGCCCACCAAGGCGACGAUCAGUAGCCGACCUGAGAGGGUGACCGGCCACAUUGGGACUGAGACACGGCCCAGACUCCUACGGGAGGCAGCAGUGGGGAAUAUUGCACAAUGGAGGAAACUCUGAUGCAGCGACGCCGCGUGAGUGAAGAAGUAAUUCGUUAUGUAAAGCUCUAUCAGCAGGGAAGAUAGUGACGGUACCUGACUAAGAAGCUCCGGCUAAAUACGUG